UAAUCUCCUGUCUGCAUGAUGUCAAAUCGUGCCAUGCACAUAAUCUUUUGGAUUCCUUGUCCCUGAUGUAUGGGGAGAAAAAUGGACCCAACCCAUCAUAACCAAGUUCAUUGAUUUGGUGGUUAUGGCUGCAUUGCUUGAUGUCCUAUCUAGCGUAGUUUAAGCACAUAGUGGUCAUGAAUUAUGAUGUUGCCUCUUGGUUUGGUCUCCCAUCAUAUUGCACCAUGAUUAGAAUUGAAUUUUCAAAAUAAAGAAAUUCUCGCAGCCACUCAGAGCACUCACUAGUGCCAUCGGAAGGCAUCAUCUGGUCUUGUUUAAACUAGGUAGAUCUUACAUGGGCGGUAUCUUUAUGGUAGUGCACAUGAUCGUCACACCGGAUCAAACAUUUAUUGGGGCGCAGAAAAUCACUAUCCCUAGCUACGUGUAGCUUGGACUAAUUGGAGCAGAUGAUGAUAAAGUUUGUCUCUAUUGUUUGAGAUUUUAGGAUUGAACAAGAUGUGACCGGUGUCGAUCCCUUUGGUGGCUAUCAGCAUCGUGGUCAUGGUUGCUGUCGAUAGCAGUGGGCUCGUGCAUACAUUUUCAUAUCAUUCUGUAAUCAAGCUGGGAAUUUCACUUUCUGCACAUAAAGUUAUAGUUGAAAGGGAACAAUCAUUCAAACUUGCAACUAGAAAAAAAAAUCUGCUUGAUGAUCGGAUAAAAUAAGUGGAAUCAAGUCACCAUCUUGCAACUGGUGCUGUCGAUAUUAGAUGCUGAUAACAAGUCUUUUACUGUUUACUGUGGGCAUGCCUAUUUCAUUUUAAACACUUAAUUUAACAGAGAUUGAUACGUUUCUUCCCCCCCCCCCUUCCUUAGUGAGCGCUUCUUGAUUACUCACAGAUAAAUAAAUAAAAUAAAAUAAAAACUUGUUGACUACUCUUUUGUUGAGAUAUACAAGAGAGAAAUUUUAGUCUUGGCCUAAACACCUUGGUUAAAUAGUGCAAAUUGGAUCGAAUUUGUUCUACUGAACUGUCUUUCUGCCUGUUUAGCCUGGUCUAAAUGCUUCUUUGUUGGGCAAGCAGAAUUUGGGGUAGCUGCUAUAAUUCCUAUAGGAGGCUUUAAGUUGUUUUCGAGGUUUGCAUGGUAAAAUGAUAUGUUGCCUAAUUCCUGUUAAAUCGAGCACUUUGCUCCUUGUAUUUUGCAGUAUAGCUUAAAUUACCAAUAUAGCAGGCUUUUUACUUUUUGUUUGCUUCUCAAAGUGCUUUUGGCGUUUAAAAAUUCUUUUGCAAAACUAUCUACUUCAGUGAAUCAGAUAGCUUGAGCAAUUGACACCUUUUCUUUUCCUGCCUAGUUGUGUUUUCUGAUACUGGUCUUGAGUUUUCUAUAUACCCGAAUUAACCUUUGAUUAUUUUGACAAAUUUAUAAACUGGGGCCAGCCGCAAGUCAAAUCUGUUGCUUUGUUGUUGUUGAUCCUGGCAGCCAUGGACCAUGACGAGAGUCACCAAACGUCUUCCCCUUUUUCUAAGCUAUCACGUGGGCAAAUGCAUGCUGUUUGCAAUUGAGUGAGACUAAUCAGCCUUUGAUUCGAUGCAAUGACAUUAUUGGUUCCUUGACCGAAUCUGUGGAAUAAUGUAGCUAAUACUCCCUCUGUACGAUGUAAAGCAUGCAGUUAAAACUCCCUAGCUUUGAUAAUUGAUUUAAGAAGAACGACUUGGAUUGUUCAUAUGUAAUAGUAUCAUCAUAUUUAUCAUGAAAAACAUUUCCAUAA